rnacentral:lncRNA from 1 species
GAUUUUCAAAUAGUUUUUACUGUUUUUCUUACUCAACAGCCCUGCAAGCCUCCUGCUCAGGGAGGUUUAUAGAACAAUGUUUUUCCUGAAUAACAGCAAUAUCAAAAGUGCCCAACUAUGGACUAUGCCUGGUUUUAUGGAUCUGCCUUUUCUCUUUAAAUAAUUUUGCCAUUCUGCAGCAAUUUGCUUGUUUCUUUCUAAUGUCUCUGAACAGCCAACAAUUAUGCAUGCAGAGAUGAAGAUGAGUGUACUCAUGGAAUAGGAGUGGAAGCCUUUCUUUGAAGAUGGAGGAAAGGUGGCCACUUACAAGGACUAUUCAUGAGAAACAAAAUGAGUUUUUCCUGUCAAGGACAGUUGUGGAGUUAGCAGCACAACUUGAGCCUUCUGUCUCUGAGACUAGUUCAAAAUUAACAAAACAGAAUUUCCUUGGAGAACAAUAUUGCAAAACACAAUGCUUUCAAGAAAUUUUUCUUGUGCCAAUUUCCCUAAAGGAGACUACUGAUUAGUGACACAAUCCCUGUGUCCUCACCAUCAUCUCUGAUCACCUGUAUCAUCCUAGAACUUGCUUUUGCCCUCCAAUCAGAGCAGUCUCAACAGAAGUGCAGAUGCUGAGUAACAAAGUUGUUCAUGGGUGAAGAAGAGUAUUUGUAUGAAGACCAGCCAUACUGCAAGUGUCUGUUCAGACACACAUUAGCUUUUGUGAAAGUUUGUAAGUAAGAAUGCUGGUCAAACAGCUGCUUGUGAACAAUGUGAACAAAUAUGAACAAAUACCAUAUUAGGUCAGUUCUGUUACUCACAUGAGUUUCUAUCACAUUUGGUUUGAAACACUGAGAAUAUAUUCCCUAGCUGCUACUUCCAAUCUCCUGUUUGCUGAUGGGUUCCUCUUCUGCAUGACGGCUUGCUACAGUAUAUCACUGAAAUAUACUGACACAUUUCUUAAACAUAUUGCAUUCUCAUGAGAAAAAAAUAGAAAAAAAUUAGUUUGUACCUAUAUCCUACUUCUUCUGCCAGUCACUAAAAUUGAUUGACUCUCUUCUGCUUCUUUCUUUUCAUUCAUGACUGUGUUUUUGUUCAAAUAAUUGAUUUAUCAUGUAUCUAAUGAUUCUUUCCUGGUUUUCAACUUGAAAAAUAUCCAUGCCCUGGCUCAUUGCUGUAGUAUUUGUCAUCAGAAUAACACCAUAAAUCAUUUUGAGCUUAAGAUCAG